rnacentral:misc_RNA from 1 species
GAUGAAGAACGCAGCGAAAUGCGAUAAGUAAUGUGAAUUGCAGAAUUCAGUGAAUCAUCGAAUCUUUGAACGCACAUUGCGCCCCUUGGUAUUCCGAGGGGCAUGCCUGUUCGAGCGUCAUAUUAACCACUCCCGCUUGCGGGGUCUUGGGCUUCGCCUCCGGGCGGGCCUUAAAAUCAGUGGCGGUGCCGUCGGGCUCUACGCGUAGUAAAUUUUCUCGCGAUAGGGUCCCGGUGGAUGCUUGCCAACAACCCCCAACUUCUUAAGGUUGACCUCGGAUCAGGUAGGGAUACCCGCUGAACUUAAGCAUAUCGAUAAGCGAGGA